rfam:Ovis aries breed Texel chromosome 7, whole genome shotgun sequence.
UCCUUGAUGGUCCAGUGGCUAAGACUCUGUUCUCCCAAAGCAGGAGGCCCAGGUGUGAUUCCUGGUCAGAGAG